ACCCGCGUAUUUACUGGUUUCUUUGGUGGGACUCAAAAUCCCCCGCCGCAAGGCGUGCCGGUUCGAUUCCGGCCCCGGGCACCA
rnacentral:tRNA from 1 species